GAUGAACGCUGGCGGCGUGCCUAAUACAUGCCAGUCGAGCGAACAGACGAGGAGCUUGCUCCUCUGACGUUAGCGGCGGACGGGUGAGUAACACGUGGAUAACCUACCUAUAAGACUGGGAUAACUUCGGGAAACCGGAGCUAAUACCGGAUAAUAUAUUGAACCGCAUGGUUCAAUAGUGAAAGACGGUUUUGCUGUCACUUAUAGAUGGAUCCGCGCCGCAUUAGCUAGUUGGUAAGGUAACGGCUUACCAAGGCAACGAUGCGUAGCCGACCUGAGAGGGUGAUCAGCCACACUGGAACUGAGACACGGUCCAGACUCCUACGGGAGGCAGCAGUGGGGAAUAUUCCGCAAUGGGCGAAAGCCUGACGGAGCAACGCCGCGUGGGUGAUGAAGGUCUUCGGAUCGUAAAGCUCUGUUAUUAGGGAAGAACAAAUGUAUAAGUAACUAUGCACGUCUUGACGGUACCUAAUCAGAAAGCCACGGCUAACUACGUG
rnacentral:rRNA from 1 species